AAAAAAGCCAGCAAGUUUCAUUUAAAGUAUCAGAGGAUAAAAAAGAAAAAACAGAUGCAGGACCUCCUCAAUCUGCACAAUCUCCAUUACAUAAUCAGAACAGGACAUGCAUCUAGCCAACCCUUGCGCAGGUGUGUGUAUUGCCUUCCCGAAGGACAAAAGACCAUUUCCAAUCCAAGAAAAGAGAGGAAGCUACAUAAUACUUGUCCGAUGCCACCCCCAAGCUUGUAGGAAGCCGAGCAUGAGAUAACAGGAGAUUAACAAUCAGUCUCAGCAACCACUUUGCUGAAUCCCAAAUUAAUUCUCUUCAUUUUGGCACUGUUUUUAGGCUUUUUUUUU
rnacentral:misc_RNA from 1 species